rnacentral:rRNA from 2 species
UACGGAGGGUGCGAGCGUUGUCCGGAAUCAUUGGGCGUAAAGGGCGCGUAGGUGGCCCGGUCAGCGUGCGGUGAAAGCUCGGGGCUCAACCCCGAGUCGGCCGUGCGAACUGCUGGGCUCGAGCACUGUAGAGGCAGGCGGAAUUCCGGGUGUAGCGGUGGAAUGCGUAGAGAUCCGGAAGAACACCGGUGGCGAAGGCGGCCUGCUGGGCAGUAGCUGACACUGAGGCGCGACAGCGUGGGGAGCAAACAGG